AACCAGGGUGCCACGACGAGCAAAGACUUCAACUUUGGCGGUUCCGACACAAACUUCUCCUGGUCAAUUUGCUCUAUCACUUCCCAACACCGCCUCGAGCGUCUUCGCGACGAUCAUGAUGUCGCUCGUCAUCAACCAGUCGUCGACAUACGAAAGACCAAGGCGAGCUGCGUCUUUCCACUAGAUUCGAUCGACUGCUCACCUGCUGCGGGCAUUCACAUCUCAAUAUGCGCCGUCACUGGCCAAUACCGCUUUCAGUGUUUUG
rnacentral:misc_RNA from 1 species